rnacentral:rRNA from 1 species
AAGACUAAGCCAUGCAUGCCUUCGAAUAGGAGGAAGCAAUUCUCUCUGAAUCUGCGAACGGCUCCGCAAACCAGUUGUAAACUAUAGCAAGCAAGCUCAGAUCCAGCUCGCAAGGGCAGGGUUUGGGCGAUAUGGAUAACCCUGGUAAUUCUGAGGCUAAUACAAGAGCGUAACUCCUGGCUGACCGCUUCGGUGGGAUGCUGGGGGACGUGCGAUUGCAGCUUGGGUAUAACCGGGAAAGGGCGCACGUUCAGACCGCGCUACAAAGGAUCGGGAUCUCCCUCGGGAGGACCUGGCCCCAGCGGCUCUUGCUGUGUGCUUCUGACCUAUCAACUAGACGGCAGCGUAAGGGACAUGCUAUGGUGACAACGGGUACAGAGGAUUAGGGUUCGAUCCUGGAGAGUGGGCCUGAGAGAUUGCUCAUACUUCUAAGGAAGGCAGCAGGCGCGCAACGUUCCCCUUGGGCAAUGCCCGAGGGCGUUAGGGGACAUAUGAAUGCCUGCCCAUUGGGUGGGCAAUUCAAAUGGGUCUGUUCUAAACAGGCUCUCGAGUAACAAU